AGAUUGAACGCUAGCGGGAUGCUUUACACAUGCAAGUCGAACGGCAGCGCGGACUUCGGUCUGGCGGCGAGUGGCGAACGGGUGAGUAAUAUAUCGGAACGUGCCCAGUAGCGGGGGGAUAACUACGCGAAAGCGUGGCUAAUACCGCAUACGCCCUACGGGGGAAAGGGGGGAUUCUUCGGAACCUCUCACUAUUGGAGCGGCCGAUAUCAGAUUAGCUAGUUGGUGAGGUAAAGGCUCACAAGCGACGAUCUGUAGCUGGUUGAGAGACGACCAGCCACACUGGGACUGAGACACGGCCCAGACUCCUACGGGACGGCAGCGAGUAGGGGAAUUUUGGACAAUAGGGGGGAAACCCUAGGAUCCGAAGCCAAUCCCGGCGGUGGU
rnacentral:rRNA from 1 species